rnacentral:ncRNA from 1 species
UGGUCCUAGCCUUAUAAUCAAUUCUUACUUAACUUACACAUGCAAGUCUCCGCACCCCUGUGAAAACGCCCUCAAAUCCCUUCAGGGAUCAGGAGCUGGUAUCAGGCUCGAUUUUCAGCCCACGACACCUAGCCAUGCCACACCCACAAGGGUACUCAGCAGUGAUCAACAUUGACCAUAAGCGCAAGCUUGACUCAGUCAAAGUAAAUAGGGCCGGCAAAUCUGGUGCCAGCCGCCGCGGCCACACCACGGGCCCAAAUUGAUUAAUUUCGGCGUAAAGCGUGAUUAAAGUACUCUAAAACUGCAGUUAAACUGGGCCUAAACUGUAAAACCCUUGGACCCAAGAAACACAAGAACGAAAGUCACUGUAAAACGACCCACUUGACCUCACGACAGUUGGAACACAAACUGGGAUUAGAUACCCCACUAUGCCCAACCGUAAACUUUAACUUACACUCAAAUCGCCAGGGAACUACGAGCAAUGCUUAAAACCCAAAGGACUUGACGGUGCCCCAUUCCACCUAGAGGAGCCUGUCCUAUAAUCGAUAACCCCCGUUUAACCUCACCAUUCUUUGUCACCCCAGUCUGUAUACCUCCGUCGUCAGUUUACCACGUGAGCGCCCCUCAGUAAGCAUAAAGGCUAAUUCGCCAAAACGUCAGGUCAAGGUGCAGCUUAUAGAAUGGGAAGAGAUGGGCUACACUCUCUAAUAUAGAAAAUACGGAAAACUGUCUAUGAAACUUCAGUUAGAAGGCGGAUUUAGCAGUAAAAUGAGACAAAAGUGCUCAUUUAAAUACGGCCCUGGGGUGUGUACACACCGCCCGUCACCCUCUUCGAAACUAAAAAAAUAGUUUUUAACACCCUAUAAACUUAAAGAAGAGGCAAGUCGUAACAUGGUAAGCUUACCGGAAGGUGUGCUUGGAAA